UCGUAGUUGGAUACGAAUAGGCCUUCGGGCCAUGCACCUCAGCAAGUUGGCGACGGCUCCCGGGGAGAAACCCUCGGGAGCUGGCUAGCGGAUUGUAAUGUCACCUCGCGCGGGGAUAGAUCCUCUGCAGACGACUAAGUGACCAAGCGGUGCGUGUAAGCGGUCAAGAGGCCUUGUUGCUACGAGUCGCUGAGCGUCAGCCCGACCUUGGCUAGAUUU
rnacentral:rRNA from 1 species